UGGGGGAUAUUGCACAAUGGGCGAAAGCCUGAUGCAGCGACGCCGCGUGGGGGAUGAAGGCUUUCGGGUUGUAAACCUCUUUCGCUAUCGAACAAGGCCCGCUUAGGGUGGGUUGAGGGUAGGUGGAGAAGAAGCGCCGGCUAACUACGUGCCAGCAGCCGCGGUAAUACGUAGGGCGCGAGCGUUGUCCGGAAUUAUUGGGCGUAAAGGGCUUGUAGGCGGCUUGUUGCGCCUGCUGUGAAAACGCGGGGCUUAACUUCGCGCGUGCAGUGGGUACGGGCAGGCUUGAGUGUGGUAGGGGUGACUGGAAUUCCAGGUGUAGCGGUGGAAUGCGCAGAUAUCUGGAGGAACACCGAUGGCGAAGGCAGGGCACUGGGCCAUUACUGACGCUGAGGAGCGAAAGCAUGGGUAGCGAACAGG
rnacentral:rRNA from 1 species